rnacentral:lncRNA from 1 species
AUCCAAAUCUACAGUUGAUAGAAUUUAAUCAAACACCCUAAUUAACUAAUUCACUAUAUUCCUAUGUGAAUUACAAUUAACGAGGAUUUAAAGCACAUGUUCCCUUAUUAGAUUACAUGCGGCGUAAAGGCAUAUCCCUAUCCUAAACACAAAUCAUGAAUUCCAUCAUCAUGCAGAAAACACAAUCACAUGCUAUUAUGAUCAGAUCUAAAUUUAUAUUUCAUCUCCCGAAUUCAUAUAAAUUAUCAUAGUAAUUGUUAGCUAGACAAUUAAACAAUUAUACACAAUUAUAAUAGACAAACCAUAGAAUAGAUCACAAUAAUUAACAGAGAAGCAUACUAAAAUAAGUUAUGCAAUAAGAUCCGUUGCAAUCUUAAACAAAAAUUUAGUCCAUUGUCAUUGAAUUAAAAUCAAGAAUCCACAACUGAAUAGACAUUAAAAGAUAAAAGUAAAAGUAGAGGAAAUAAUGAAAUCUGUUGUCUGCAAAUCUGAUGCUCCCCUCUUGCUCCUACUCUUGAUCUUCAAUGAUCCUCCGGUUGUUUCAAUCUCCAACAAUCCAAUAUAAACUAGGGUUUAUGUUCUAAUCUAAUGGAGUGUUUUUUCUAAUCUAAUCUAUCUAAUCCCCCUUUAUUUUAUGCCUCAAACAUGUAUUUAUAGGCUACAAGUCCAAUUUCUAGUUUAGGAGGAAACCCAAUCCAAUUUGAAGUCAAAAAGGUAUCAAAAGUAGCCCCAAAACGCGUCCCAACUUGAUUUGGCCCGACCCCAGCGCCCCGGUGUUGCUUACGGCACUGGAAAUCUGCCUUCCAGUGCCCCGGCGCUGUAAAUGCACUAGAAAUGGGCGCCCCGGCGCUGUGCUCUUUUCGAAAAAUGGCCAUAACUUCUUCGGCCGAACUCUGAUUUCGAUGAUUCAAGAUGUUCCGGAAAGAGGAGACGUAGAUCUACAACUUUCAUUCUUUGAGUUUUUCGAAAUAAGGGCUGGAGCAAUGCUGAAAUUGGCCCUGAAGUGAGUGUUAUGUAAAUGGCAAUCCGAAAAUGCGAAUCUAGCAACCUCAAACGUCGAUCCAAGUAAUUUUUCUCCCAAUUCCUACAAAACAACGUAAAACAUGCAUGAAUAGAUACAAAUACUUAAAAACUUUCAAAAGAUUAAGCUCAAACACACUCAAUUCAUGGGUACAAAACUCACUCAUCAAAUACCCCCAAACUUAAACAUUUGCUUGUCCUCAAGCAAAAACACAAAAGACUUAAAAAUAAACAAACUAACUCAACUACAUGAAUGCAUAUGCAUGAUCUACUUCCUAAUAUACCUAUGAAUCUUGUAAUAAAUCAGUAUGAUAUAUAGCAAAAGGCCUCAAAGAUACCAAUGAUACUCAAACAAUAUAUCCAAUCAAGUCAAAGUUCAUAACUCUAACCAGUCAGUCAAUUCAAACCUGUCAUCACCCAUGUUGUGCGUGUGUGCUUGUUAACCAUUCUAACCAACCACAGUUCAAGAUAAUCACAUAACAAACUUUUUAGAAGGAAAAGUUCCAAUUCAAUUACUUCUGUGAACAUGACAACUUCGGUUAAAACUAAGCAAUUACCAAGUCUAAGGGUAAAUACAGAAUUUAUUUCUACCUUUAUUCAACCACGAGGGCAUUUUUGUUGUUUCUCGUUUUUUUUACAAUUGACUAUGCAAUGUCUAGUUCUCUUAGGCUUUUUAGUGCUACCCAUUAGCGAGCUUUCGACCAACGACUCCCAAACCGUCAGGCUUUAGGGCGCUAGGUGUAGAGACAUCCCCUCGGGCGUACUUACUCAAGUAACAAAGGCCACAUAACCAAACUAUUCAAUGUAUUUAUUUUUAUAUAUAUAUAUAUAUUUAGAUUUUCUAUUUUUUCCCCUUUUCACUUUUUUUUUUCAAUAUAUAUACCCCAUAGAUUCCCUCAAACUCAAGAUUUUACGUCAUUCCAACUUUUACUGCCAGUUCACUAAUUUCCAUAAAUUUUAACUAAGAUUUUCCCCCAGAAACAAAUUAUGAAACCCUUGAACCAAUUGGAUUAAAACAGUUAAACUUUAAGUGCUAACCGGUUACAUAAGUUUUAGACGGGCUCAUUCAUGUUUAAAAUUAGAACUCAUCAUCAAUUAUCAACACUGUUCAAGAUAACAUGCAAAACCAAUCAUAUCAUAGGCCGAGCUACGACCACACCAACCGAUCACACAGAUUCAUGGAAAAAAAUGCAAUUAUACUACAUGAACACAUACUAAUGCAAUACAUAUAUGAAUAUGCAAUUAACUACCAUGUAUUAUAUGCACACUAAUGCAAAAACACAAUGCUAACACGUAAAAAUAACGAACUACAAUACAAAUAACUAACUAUAUGCAAUACGACACUAAAAUGCUCCAAACUUGAACUAGACAUUGUCCUCAAUGGCUGAAAUAGGAAAAAGUAAAGCAGAGGACUUCCCUGAAAAUAUAGUAAUCUUCCUCCUUGUCCGCUAAGUUUGGAGAAUAGGCUAGGCACAUGGAACAAAUUGGGCACCACAUUUGAAUUUGACUUGAAUAACCUGUAAACCCACAAUAGAAGCAAUUUUAUUAAAUUAUAAAUAAAUGCAAAUUCAAAGCUACUAAUAUAAAACCUAAUAAAAACUAAAACUAAAAAUUAAACUUGGGUUGCCUCCUAAUAAGCGCUUGUUUUAUAGUGUCAGCCUGACUUCUUCAAUUCUCUAUCCAAUUCCUUUACGAAAAUUGAGGAACCCUCCAUCCAUCAGUAAUAAUGUCUCUUUUGAUAGGUUUCCAUUAGUAAUGACCAUUGAAUUAAAGUCACCUAGCAUGCUCUUUGUAGAUAAGUUCCCCAUUAAGAACGUCCAACAACUAGGUGUUUUCUCCAUUAUGUCUAUGAUCAUAUUACGACAUUGAAACUUAAUAAACAGAAUGGGAUCUUCCUCUAUCUUCUCCUUUUCAUCCCACCAUGACUCCACAGUUGUACUAAUUCUUACGUCACAAAGAGCUUUGCCGACGACAUGACUACCAAUUGGGUAUGGCUUUGCAAAACUGCCCGGAUUCUUGAACUUUGGUGGAGGAUGCACAUGGGAUACUAAUGAAAUCGGCUUAUCUUCGUUGAAGCUUACAGUUAAAUCUUCGUCAAUAUCCAUUUCUUGGUUCCCAAUUGUUUCCUCUCUUUCAACAUCUUGUGGCUCAUCCAGUUGUAGAUUUUGUUCGGGCUCUCCAUCAAUUUCGGAAUCCAUGUCAUAGAGCCAAGUGUAUUGAGGACAAAUGUUCGAGGCAUUGACUAGUUGUUCUGCAAAAUUUUGACUCGAUAUCUCUUGACGAAUCCUCCUCUCCUCACUUGAAGCUAUGAACUUUGACAGAAUUUCCUCUAAAUUUAGAUUUUCUUCCUGUUGUAGUGGAGGUGGACAUGAGAACUUCGGUGGGUAUGUUGGACUUGGAGCAUAAAAUUGAUCUUGAUGAGUAUGGCUCCAUGAAAAAUCUGGGUGAUACUCCCAAUCCUGCUGAUAGUUGUUGGGAUAGACAUAAUUGUUAGGGUAAUCAACGCCAUACUGUACCGGCUCGAAACUGAUGACACAUUGAUGACUCAGAUGAUUUUCAGCACAAUAAUCACAAGUAAUCGCCACACUUUGACGAUCACAAGUAAUUGCCACACUUUGACGACGUGCUGCAAAAGCGUCUAAUCUCCUCGAAAGUGUCUCAAUCUGUGCUGAUAAUGCAGAAAGUGUCGCGAGUCCAUCAAUCUUCGCUCCCCUUGGCUGAGUUAUUCUUGUAUACGACCAUUGAUAAUUAAAUUCCGCCAUGGUACCUGAAAAGAAAGAAAAAUAGAAAGAGAAUUAAAUUAGAUAAAAAUAAAUAAAAACACAUUUAAAUUAAAACUAAAUUGAUAAAAAUUAAUAUUGGCAAAUAUUAUUAAAUUAAUUCUCCGACAACGACGCCAAAAACUUGUUGAUUGAUUUCACAAUCAAAACAUACGUGCAAGUAUACACGGUCAACAAGUAAUAAAGUAAAAGUAGAGUAUCGUUCCCACGAGGAAUUAUUUAAUAAAAAUCACCAAGUACUAGUUCUUAACCAAACUAAUUUUAUUUAAACAAUCGAUUUAAUGUUGUGAAUUAAAAUAUAUAAUUAAACUACUACUGCUACCAUUAGUUGAAAAUCAGGUUAUGGAGAUUUAAGAUCACAACUUCACUUAUUGUUUCACUUAUAUUAAAAUACUUCUUAUUAAUUAUGCCCACUAGUUUGGAUUGUUAAUCAGGGACUUAUUAGUAUUUAUAACCACCUUCCGAUGCAUCACAAACAUAUUAAUCCAAAUCUACAGUUGAUAGAAUUGAAUCAACCACCCUAAUUAACUAAUUCACUAUAUUCCUAUGUGAAUUACAAUUAAAGAGGAUUUAAAGCACAUGUUCCCUUAUUAGAUUACAUGCGGCGUAAAGGCAUAUCCCUAUCCUAAACACAAAUCAUGAAUUCCAUCAUCCUGCAGAAAACACAAUCACAUGCUUUUAUGAUCAGAUCUAAAUUUAUAUUUCAUCUCCUGAAUUCAUAUAAAUUAUCAUGGUAAUUGUUAGCUAGACAAUUAAACAAUUAUACGCGAUCAUAAUAAACAAACCAUAGAAUAGAUCACAGUAAUUAACAGAGAAGUAUACUAAAAUAAACUAUGCAAUAAGAUCCGUUGCAAUCUUAAACAAGAAUUUAGUUCAUUGUCAUUAAAUUAAAAUCAAGAAUCCACAACUGAAUAGACAUUAAAAGAUAAAAGUAAAAGUAGAUGAAAGAAUGAAAUCUGUUGUCUGCAAAUCUGACGCUCCCAUCUUGCUC